AGUGAACGCUGGCGGUAGGCCUAACACAUGCAAGUCGAACGGCAGCACAGUAAGAGUUUGCUCUUACGGGUGGCGAGUGGCGGACGGGUGACGAAUACAUCGGAAUCUACUUUUUCGUGGGGGAUAACGUAGGGAAACUUACGCUAAUACAGCAUACGACCUACGGGUGAAAGCAGGGGAUCUUCGCACCUUGCGCGAUUGAAUUAGCCGAUGUCGGAUUAGCUAGUUGGCGGGGUAAAGGCCCACCAAGGCGACGAUCCGUAGCUGGUCUGAGAGGAUGAUCCGCCACAAUGGAACUGGGACAGGGUCCAGACUCCUAAGGGAGGCCGCAGUGGGGAAUGUUGGACAAUGGGCGGAAGCCUGAUCCAGCCAUACCGCGUGGGUGAAGAAGGCCUUCUGGUUGUAAAGCCCUUUUGUUGGGAAAGAAAAGCAGCAGGUUAAUACCCCGCUGUUCUGACGGUACCCAAAGAAUAAGCACCGGCUAACUUCGUG
rnacentral:rRNA from 1 species